rnacentral:rRNA from 1 species
AUGAACGCUGGCGGCGUGCCUAAUACAUGCAAGUCGAGCGAACAGACGAGAAGCUUGCUCCUCUGACGUUAGCGGCGGACGGGUGAGUAACACGUGGAUAACCUACCUAUAAGACUGGGAUAACUUCGGGAAACCGGAGCUAAUACCGGAUAAUAUAUUGAACCGCAUGGUUCAAUAGUGAAAGACGGUUUUGCUGUCACUUAUAGAUGGAUCCGCGCCGCAUUAGCUAGUUGGUAAGGUAACGGCUUACCAAGGCAACGAUGCGUAGCCGACCUGAGAGGGUGAUCGGCCACACUGGAACUGAGACACGGUCCAGACUCCUACGGGAGGCAGCAGUAGGGAAUCUUCCGCAAUGGGCGAAAGCUUGACGGAGCAACGCCGCGUGAGUGAUGAAGGUCUUCGGAUCGUAAAACUCUGUUAUUAGGGAAGAACAAAUGUGUAAGUAACUAUGCACGUCUUGACGGUACCUAAUCAGAAAGCCACGGCUAACUACGUG